rnacentral:rRNA from 1 species
UCUUUGAAGAGUUUGAUCCUGGCUCAGCGCGAACGCUGGCGGCAUGCCUAACACAUGCAAGUCGUACGGAGAGUGGGGCAACUCACUCUCAGUGGCAAACGGGUGAGUAACGCGUGAAUAACCUGCCUUUGAGAAGGGGAUAACUGUCCGAAAGGAUAGCUAAUACCCUAUAUUGCCUUUUGUCACUAAGGCAAAAGGUGAAAGCGAGGCUGUCAAAGGCUUCGGCUCAAAGAGGGGUUCGCGUCCUAUCAGGUAGUUGGUGGGGUAAUGGCCUACCAAGCCAAUGACGGGUAGCUGGUCUUAGAGGAUGAUCAGCCACAGUAGGACUGAGACACGGCCCGCACCCCUACGGGGGGCAGCAGUGGGGAAUCGUGGGCAAUGGGCGCAAGCCUGACCCCGCAAUGCCGCGUGAGGGAAGAAGCCCUUCGGGGUGUAAACCUCUGUCAGAUGGGAAGAUGGGACUAGGGGCUAAUACCUCCUAGUCUUGACGGUACCAUCAGAGGAAGGGACGGCUAACUACGUGCCAGCAGCCGCGGUAAUACGUAGGUCCCGAGCGUUGCGCGAUGUUACUGGGCGUAAAGCGUCCGUAGCUGGUUUCGUAAGCGGAUUGUCAAAGCCCGAAGCUCAACUUCGGCAAGGCAUUCCGAACUGCGUUACUUGAGUCCUGUUCAGGUAGGCGGAAUUCCCGGUGUAGCGGUGAAAUGCGUAGAUAUCGGGAGGAACACCAGUGGCGAAGGCGGCCUAACUGGGACGGUACUGACGGUCAUGGACGAAAGCUGGGGGAGCAAACCGGAUUAGAUACCCGGGUAGUCCCAGCCGUAAACGAUGGAUGUUAGGUGUAGUGAUAACUUCGCUGCACCCCAGCUAACGCGUUAAACAUCCCGCCUGGGGAGUACGGGCGCAAGCCUGAAACUCAAAGGAAUUGGGCGGGGGCCCGCACAACCGGUGGAGCGUCUGGUUUAAUUCGAUGCUAACCGAAAAACCUUACCAGGGUUUGAAAUGGUAGGAAAGGCUGUCGAAAGAUAGCCGUGUUUCCCUUUUGGGAGAAAUCCUACCACAGGUGGUGCAUGGCCGUCGUCAGCUCGUGUUGUGAGAUGUUGGGUUAAGUCCCGCAAUGAGCGCAACCCUUGUCCUUAUUUGCUUCCUCGUAUGAGGUGCUCUAUAAGGAGACUGCCGGCGACAAGCCGGAGGAAGGAGGGGACGACGUCAGGUCAGUAUGCCCUUUAUGCCCUGGGCUACACAGGCGCUACAGUGGCAAGGACAAUGAGUAGCGAGAGUGCAAGCUCAAGCUAAUCUCACAAACCUUGUCGUGGUGCGAAUUGAAGGUUGAAACUCACCUUCAUGAAGCCGGAAUCGGUAGUAAUGGCGUAUCAGCUAUGUCGCCGUGAAUACGUUCCCGGGCCUUGCACACACCGCCCGUCACGCCACGGAAGCUGGUGUUUUCGGAAGUCCUCAAGCUAACCCGCAAGGGAGGCAGAGGCCGAUGAAAACAUCGGUAACUGGGGCGAAGUCGUAACAAGGUAGCCGUAGGGGAACCUGCGGCUGGAUCACCUCCUUU